GGGCAACAUGAGCUCAUAGCGUAUAUUAAGUUGUUGCAGUUAAAAAGCUCGUAGUUGAAUUUCGGGAUUGACACAUCGGUCGUGCCUUAAGGGGUAUGAACUGGUGUAGUCAAUUUCUCACCUUCUGGAGAACCGCGAUGCCCUUAAUUGGGUGUCACGGGGAACCAGGACCUUUACUUUGAAAAAAUUAGAGUGUUUAAAGCAGGCAUUUUGCUUGAAUACAUUAGCAUGGAAUAAUAAAAUAGGACGGCAUGAUUCUAUUUUGUUGGUUUCUAGGAUCACCGUAAUGAUUAAUAGGGAUAGUUGGGGGCAUUAGUAUUCAAUUGUCAGAGGUGAAAUUCUUGGAUUUAUUGAAGACUAACUACUGCGAAAGCAUUUGCCAAGGAUGUUUUCAUUAAUCAAGAACGAAAGUUAGGGGAUCGAAGACGAUCAGAUACCGUCGUAGUCUUAACCAUAAACUAUGCCGACUAGGAAUCAGACGAUGUUAAUUUUUUAAUGACUCGUUUGGCACCUUACGGGAAACCAAAUGUUUGGGGGUCAAAGAAGGUUGU
rnacentral:rRNA from 1 species